rnacentral:rRNA from 1 species
UACAGAGGUCUCAAGCGUUGUUCGGAUUCAUUGGGCGUAAAGGGUGCGUAGGCGGCGCGGUAAGUCGGAUGUGAAAUCUCGGAGCUUAACUCCGAAACUGCAUUCGAUACUGCCGUGCUUGAGGACUGGAGAGGAGACUGGAAUUUACGGUGUAGCGGUGAAAUGCGUAGAUAUCGUAAGGAAGACCAGUGGCGAAGGCGGGUCUCUGGACAGUUCCUGACGCUGAGGAGCGAAAGCGUGGGGAGCGAACAGGAAUUAG